AUGUAUUUGCUCAUUUUGGUACGUUAGCGACAUGUUUACCAUCCCUGCAGAAGGAAAAAAUCUUUUUUUUCUGAAAUUAAAAAUUUACUUGCUGUGGCCUUAACUCGGCGGCGGCGAACGGCCUAAAUGUGUCAGGGUCAUAAUCUCCAAGCAGAUCUUCCUGUGAAAAAUGGGAAGGAGUUUAGUCGGAAGAGGAGUUAUUGGCCACAGCGAACCCCUCUGCCGGCUAAACUCCUUCCCAAUGCCACAGCAAGAUCUGCUUGGAGAUUAGCAGGGUCAGCAGGGAAAGUCUGUCAAUUGGGAAUUCCGAUAGCCAAUAGCAUUUGGUGAACGAACUUUAACAAUAACACACUUUAACAUGCAGGCACGUAGACUCAAACAGUUUUUUUUUUUUAAUUCUUAAAACAAAUAGUACAUUUGUCAAAUACUAAAGGUACUAAGACUAGUAGUUUUAUAAUUUAUAAUUGUUUCACGGGGAGUGAUCAAAUGUAGUUGCGUCUCUUACUACAAGGGUUAAGGUACAUUUGUCAAGCACAAGGGAGUUAUAAUUAAGACUAUAUUUCUACAAUCUAGAACUGGUUACUAUUGCACAGGGAGUGUUGAAAUGCAGUUGUGUCUUCUAUAACAUCAUGGGUAAUGGUUUGUUUGAACCUUUAUUGAUGGUAUUCUUUAUUUAUGGUAUUCAAGCACAAGGAAGCUAAGACUAGUAGUUUUAUAAUCUAUAACUAUUGCACAGAGAGGGAUAAAUGUAGUUGCGUCUCCUAUCACGUGGUAAUGGUACAUCUGUCAAGCACAAGGAAGUUGAUCCUAGUCUUACUACAAUCUACGACUAAUUAUUGCACAGAGGUGUUGAAAUGUAGUUGUGUCUCCUAUCACAUAGGUAUGGUACAUUUGUCAAGCACAAGGGAGUAAGUAUUUCUACAAUCUACAACUAUUGGACGGAGAGUGAUAAAAUGUGGACUUUCUCCUUCUCCUUCUUUGUUUGUCAUUCUCAACAAAUAAACAGACACUGACCUUUGAACCCUCAACUGGAAGAACAGCCUGUGUAAUACUACACCACUGAUGUCUGACAUGAUAUGACCCAGUUUUCAAGAAUUGCGUCAUUAGGCAGGUUUUAAAAAACUUAUAGAAAAUCAUAGAUGAACAUUAAUGCUAAAAUAAAAAUUGUUGACAGACAACUUCUGGCAAAAAAAUGAAAUGGCCUCGAAGAAGCGGCUUUUCUCAUUCAUUCAUUCAUUCAUUCAUUCAUUCAUUCAUUCAUUCAUUCAUUCAUUCAUUCAUUCAUUUAUUCAUACACAUGCAGUAAAAGAAAAUCGUUGACAACUUGGGACAAUAGAAAAUGAACCGGCUUCGUAGGGGUUUUAGAUAAAAAUUAUAUAACAUGUUUGCAUCUUGACACACCUACAACACAGAGACAAAAGAAAACUGGAAAGACCGGUAUUUGCUUAUGGGCGAAUUCAGCGUAUUUCACUCCACCCUCCUCUGCCUUAUGCAAAAUGGUCAGUUCCAAAAUUGAAUUUGAAGAAAACCAUCCCAUGUGGGAAUGGACUCUUCAUAAUGUACAUUUUAUGUAUAGAAAUCCACUUCGUUUGACCUCAAGUCCCUUCACGGAAAGACGAUAUAAUUUUUUGGUCGAGCAGAGAAACGAUGUUCAUGUAUUCGCAUGUCUUCUUGUCAGCUACAUGAAAGCCGAGGAACGACGGAGAUUAAUCGCUUUGAAGGUAUGACAGGAGAAAAAGAAGAAGAAACGUGACGAGAACAACAUUUCACUCCGUACCAUACAUACGGUAUGCUGGAGUGAAAUAAUCAGCCAAAGGACAGACUACUCCCGGUACGAAUAAAUUGGGUUCCGCAUACAUGUUUGGCCAGUUCCGGUUUUGAAUUUUGUCUCUCUUCGUGGUUCUCCUUGCUCUUGUCUUUGUCCCAGGUGCCGAUUUCUCUGAUACGACAUGGCGGGGACCUUCUAUGAUAAUUUCGACAGCGGCGAUUCUCGUGAAGGGUAAGUACACCCAAAUAACUC